ensembl:lncRNA
CUUGAAGAGUUCAACCUGAAGAUGAAGCGGAAAUCGACGCAACAAACACCAACAUAAACUCAAAGGCAGUUUGUUAUCUUCACUUGGCAUCAUGAGCUCAUCUCCCACUAGAAUAGAACCUGCUGCUGACCCAUCCAGACCCUAUGGACAUUAGUUGGCUUACAUUGUUACCUAUCAUCCAUUUAUUGAUUUGUAAUGAUGCUAACAAAGGAUUUGUUAUCUUUGAGCCACAUCCUUUAAGGCAACAUAUUGAAGAAUCUUUUUCAUUGUAUAUUCAGAUUUGAUUUAUAUGUAUUAGCAUGGGUACGGUCAGGGGCUUUUCUUGAAAACGUGAUCUGACUUGCAAAAAUGAUUCCCUAUAUAGGCUUUUAGCUUUAAUUAGGGCCUGGAGAUUUUCCUAGGCUGGUCAUUUGGUCAGGAAAACCUCUUAACCCAUUUCUGUGGAUCCUCUUUCACUGUGUAUAUUUACAAAUAAAGAGUUAUUUUAUUUAUUUAUUUUUCUUAAAAAGUAACUUCAAAAUGGAAGUCAUGCUGAUGAUCUAAACUAUGCUCCACACUCCGUCCUGUUGGUGGCAGUAUUGGAAUUUGAAUCAUAACAGGGUGGGAAAAAAUCUUCAGAAGCAGGUACAGCAGAAAAAUAAAAUAGUCUUUGUCCUUGGCUAGCUAGGUCGUUGCUUUUGUACUAGCUAAUAUAUGCAUUUUUAUGCAAUUGCGUGGAACUUGUUUGACGCCUCAAAAUCUAAAAUGACAUGGCGAACAUAAUGAGAUGGUACCCUCUUUAAGGCCUAAGACGAGCGCGGGUGAGGUUGCAGACGAGUGAACCUGAAGAGUCAUCCCAGCUCAGACACGCUGGAAGAUAACAUGCCAAAUGGAACCAGAGAGUUACAGUCUGGUGCUGCCUCUGCUAUGAGCAACAUUAUGGAUCCAUCUGCCAGAGACUGGAGCAAAGGCUCAUUGAGGGGUAGCAGUGCUCCCUUCUCCCCAGACACAGAUGGGGACGUUGAUGGAGACCCUGUGCAGCCCAGUGUGGACCUGGAACUCGCUCGUAAGAAGAAGGAGCUGGAGGUCAUAGAGGAGAAGAUAGCUCGCAAGAAAGCUGUUCUUGCUACACGACAGCUUCAACACGGAGCUAAGAACAUGCCUAAAAAACAGACUGCAUCCACAACAGUGAAGGGCAUCGCUAAACAGACCAAGAUAAACAAUACAAUAUUCAAAACAUACAACCAGGUCACCGACAAGUCGUCACGCAUAUGCCUACCUCUUAAACGGAGGGUGCUGGACAUUCUACGUAAGUUCAGAAGAACACCGGUACGGCACCUACUUCGUAAGACGAAGAAACAAAACAAGAUGCGAGCAUUGGAGCUGAUGAUUAGCUCUCCCCUAGAAAAUGAAGAGGCCCAUCCUCUGAGACUGAGAGUGAAGGUUUUAAUGAACCAGCGACGCUCUCCCAACAAUGAGGUGGUCGCUAAUGAUAAACAACAUAAUCCAACCAUUCAGAGGCCAGUUCACUCACUCAGGACACAGAAGAAAGACAUAGCAGCCACAGGCUUCCAGCGCUUCCUUAAUGUCCUCAAUGAAGGUGUGGACCUCACCAAGCUCUCAAAGAUCGUCAACGACGAAAAUGAGCAACUCAUUGUGGGCGAGGAGCUACCACAAGUUUGGCCGACUCGGCUCGAGGGUCAUGUUGACUACAGCAGUAGGUCCAAGUCUUCUCCAUUUGAGGAGAAGAAGGUGAGGCUUGAGGAUGAGCAGCGGUACGAGCGGAUGCAGACCCUGCUGGAGAUUGUUGGGCUGGACUUGGGGGUUGAGGAGUUGGGUCGGCUGACAGACAGGACCAAUGAUAGGCUAUAUGGAAAGAUGGGAGACUUGAAAAGGGACAGAGCCAGAGAAGGGGAAAGUCCUGCGAGAGAGAGAUGCAGGCAAAGAUGCUCUAGUACCAGAGACAAGGACAGAGUCAGAGAAAGAGACAGAUCUGAGAGAAACCGAAAGGGAGACGGGCACAGACACUCUAGUACCAGAGAGAGAGACAAGGACAUACCGGUAGUCAGAGAAACAAACAGAUCAGAAAGGAACAGAGAUAAAGACGGGGACGGAGGCCGAGAGAGAGACCGGGACAGAUCUAGGAGAGACGGGGGCAGAGACUUAGAGAAAAGCAGAGACGGAGGCCGAGAGAAAGACCGGGACAGAUCUGAGAGAGACAGAAAACGAGAGAUAGCCAAGGAUUUAGACAGGUGGCUGCAAAGGACCAGAGACGGAGACAAACGUUCUAGGACCAGAGACUGGGACAGAGAGAGAUCUGAGAGGGAUGGGUAUGGGGAUGAGUCCAGGGAACGCUCCAUUGAGCUCUACUCAUACUCCAUGGACUCUAUAUUCCCUGUUUCUCAUCCCCAUGCAUCUAUGAUGGCUACCUACUCCACCACCCAGUACUCUCAGUAUAUGGCAUACCACAGCAGCCCCUACACCAUGGCCUUCCCUCCAGGGUGGGGUUAUCCCACCGGUACCAUGCCCGUUGGUAUUAUGCCCCCUGGUAUCAUGCCCCCUGGUACCAUGCUUCCUGGAAUCAUGCCAGCUGGUGCCAUGCUGCCUAGUAACAAGCCCCGCCAACCUAACCCCCCUGGGUAUCCACCCUACACCAACUUCCCCCCAUAUUACUCUAAUGGUACCACAGCCUUAAACCAGACAUACACAUACACCCAGCCUGCCAGCACUCGAGCAGUCUUAAGUCAGAGAUGCACAUACAUCCAACCCACUAGAAAUCGCAGGAAAAAGACACAGAAGCAUGCCCGAGGGAAAGUGUCCUGUCAGAUGGUGACAAAGAAGUCCCCCGCGGUUUUGACCACUCAGAUAGCGACAAAGAAGUCCCCCCCCGAACCAGGGUCCAAGAUUAAAGCAAAAAGGAGAAACAAUCUAUUCUUCACAGGUAUAUUCAUGAAGAGUUAUCACAGUCAUCUAAGGAAGUUCCAGUAUUAUUUGAAACGGCUUGCGAAGAGGAGGAACAAGGUUCACCAGCGCAAAAGAAAGCGAUUGCUUGCAGAAGCAGCAGGGAAAGUGGCCCCUCACUUCCCCUUUGAACCGGAGCCCAAGAAAGACGGGGAGAAACUACAUGCUGACACUUCUGAAGAAGUGGUUCCUCAGGAAGCUGCAAAUAAUUUGGAGGCACCAUCUGAAACAGGGCCUAAGAAAGAACCAGAAGGUGAGAAACUACAUGCUGACACUUCUGAAGAAGUGGUUCCUCAGGAAGCUGCAAAUAAUUUGGAGGCACCAUCUGAAACAGGGCCUAAGAAAGAACCAGAAGGUGAGAAACUACAUGCUGACACUGCUGAAGAAGUGGUCCCUCAGGAAGCUGCAAAGAAUGUGGAGACACCAUCUGAAAUGGGGCCUAAGAAAGAACCAGAAGGUGAGAAACUACAUGCUGAUGCUGCAGAGAAAGUGGCUCCUCAGGUGACUGCAAUGGACACUGCGGCCCCCUCUGAAAUGGGCCCCAAGAAAAAAAAGUUGUAUCCAGGUAUCUUCAUGAAGAUUCUAAUGAGAAGUCUAAAGAGGCAUCAGUGCAAGAUAAAAGGGAAGAAGAAGCAUUUUGCAAAGAGGAGGAAAAAGGCUUUCCAGUACAAAGGGAAGAGACCAUUGGUAGACACUAAGAAAAAAGUGCCUCUUCUAGAGGUUGCAAUGGACUCUGGGAACCCCUCUGAACCAUGGCCCAAGAAAAAGAAAAAAAAGAAAACACUAGAGGAAAAAGGAGGUAUAUACUACCCAGGGAUAUUCAUAAGGGUACACAGAACCUAUUUAACAAGGGGGAAACUGGCAAAGGCAAAAGCAGCUGCUGAAGGCACUGAGGCCAUUUCUGAACCAGCACCCACGAUUGAAGGGGGGGAAGGAAUGACAGAAGGGGAGGAACUGCUUGCAGACACAUUAGAGAAAAGGGUUCCUCAAGUGGCUACAAAUGACUCUGGGCUUCCCCCUGAACCAGGGCCCAACAAAGAACCAGAAAGAGAGGAAGAAACUAUGUUAGAAGAGGAGAAACUGCUUGCAGAUCAUGUGGCGAAAGUGUCUGUAAAGGGCCCUCCGGUCCUCUUGGAACCAAAGGCUGAGAAAGACCGAGAAGGAGAGGACGAUGCAAUUAUAGAUGGUGAGAAACUGCUAGCAGACCCUGUGGAGAAAGUGGCUAUAACGGACCCUGGCUUGCUCUCUGAACCAGAGGCUGAGAAGGAGACAAGGGGAGAAACAACCAGUGGCAUGAUAAUUAAUGAAGGAAAAAUAAGGUUGGUGCUUUUAAAAAAUAUUUUUUUAAACUUUUGUAUUGCAUUGUAA